GGUGUUGGUUACAGCUGCCCUGCCCUAUAAAAAACACACACCAGUUCUGGGUUUGCUUUUCACAAGAAGCAUUGCCUGAUGUGAAUGAUGACUCGCACAAAAGAGCUCUCAGAAGACCUACGAUUAAGAAUUGUUGACUUGCAUAAAGCUGGAAAGGGUUAUAAAAGUAUCUCCAAAAGCCUUGCUGUUCAUCAGUCCACGGUAAGACAAAUUGUCUAUAAAUGGAGAAAGUUCAGCACUGCUGCUACUCUCCCUAGGAGUGGCCGUCCUGUAAAGAUGACUGCAAGAGCACAGCGCAGACUGCUCAAUGAGUUGAAGAAGAAUCCUAGAGUGUCAGCUAAAGACUUACAAAAGUCACUGGCAAAUGCUAACAUCCCUGUUAGCGAAUCUACAAU
rnacentral:lncRNA from 1 species